rfam:Sorangium cellulosum 'So ce 56' complete genome
CAAGUCCUACCCCGGGAGGAGUCCACCCCCGGGAAAGCCAGUCCUUGCGCUGACGUGGGCGACCACGGCGGCGAAGCGUAGGAGGAAGCGCGAGCGGGCCGGGAGAACGAGCCUCGAAAAUGUACACCACGAAGGAGCCGACGCCCUCCCACCAGGCGGAAGGCCAUGCGGGGACGACCAAUGUGGACCGGGGCGGCGCCGUCCUUCCGGGGUCGGAGACCU